GAACAAAUAAAUUAUUCUGUGAUGACUUCGCUGUCAACUUCUAUCAACAAGUUUCUCUUCUAAUACAUACUACCUACAGGAUAUCAAGAAAGAUGACCAACAGUUUCCAAAAUUUGUACCGUUGAGCGUCGGAGCCCAGAGUCCGCAUUUGUACUUUUUCGUCUGGCUCCAUUUCGCACGUUCAUCGGAAUCCCUAGUUGUCAGUUGCACGCAUAUCAUCCUUGACGACACCAAGCCAGCAUUUCUUGGGUUUGUCUCUUCUGCCAGAGUGCAGUGACGUCAUUCCCAUUGAGCACCAAUCUCAAACUACACGAUUGGAUUACCUGUCUAUGAUAAGCAACAAUAAAAACAACAGGGAUUAGCACAUAUAUG